rnacentral:sRNA from 1 species
UUUGGUUAAAGUAUCUGUGACUAUUAGUGUAGAUUAGCUUGUGAUCAGAGGAGUAAUUAGAGUUGGAGAUAUAUAUUAUUAUGUCUCCUUCAUUGCUAAACACAUGAGUUUUAGUUGCUGGAAAUCACACGGCUACUUUGAGAAUAGAAGUGAAAACCUAAUUCUUCAAGAAAAUCAAGAUCAGCAAGGUCUAGGAAACCCCUAUCAACGAGUUCAAACGACAGAUCCAGUUGUGGGUUUGAUUUUGACCCUAAGGUUUUAAAACUAAUUCUAUGAGAUUACUCUCUCAGUUUUUCGUCAUCAAUUAUCCCUCUUCCCUUGUCUCUUUUUGUUUUUGCUUUUGCUUCCAUUCCUAUAGCAAUAUAAAGCUUUCAGAAAGGUACUGAUGGUUCAAAAUUAUGCAUUCAGCGGCAACAUGGCAUUUAUGCUUAGAGAAGGUUGAGUGUGAUGUUGAUGACUCUGUAUGCCUCAUGGAUUUUCUAUCUUAUGAUCGUUGUGUUGCCCGUUAGUUGCAGAAUCCUUCCAAUUUUUUUGGCUGUUGAAACUUUCAUAUGGUUGAUCAGCACAAUUUUUUUUCAGUGACUCAUCGUUUCGAGUUUAUGUCAACCAGCAUGAUUUUUCAACGUGGGAUUCUGUUUACAAUCUUAGAUGGGAUUGAUUUGCAACAUGCUUCUGCUUUCCCCGGGGCAACAUGGUCCAUCGUAGUAAGCAAAAUACUGAAAAUUACCUUCAGUUACUUGAAAGAUUAUUAAGAUAACCUGUAUCUGCCUCACAUUUAUUAUCAUUUGAGCCACUGAUUGUAUAUAUUUAUGAUAGAUAGUCAGGGAGUUGAAAUUGAAACAUUGUUUAUCCAGUGGCACGUUUAGGGUGAAAAAUGUUAAUAGAUUAGUGAGUUUUGUAUAUCAUACAUGUAACAGAAAACAAAAAAUAAAAAAUAAAAAUUGAGUACUAUAUCCCUGCCUCAACAGGGCAGAAUCUUGUGGAAUUUGAGAGACCUCUGAUUCUGAAAUGCCAUAACUUCCCUUUAGAAUACAACAAAUUCUCAUCACACAAGAACUCCCAUGAAAACCAUUUCUCUAUGAUACGAUCUACAUCAUGUACUAUUACAUCUGAAGUAUUCCCUGCUCUUGCCAGUACACUAGUGGUGUAAAUGGACCCCAUUCUGCCUGGUGAUUCUGGUGAAUCCCCAAUGGGUCCAUCUACCACCAUGACAUCCCAGUUCUUUUCAUACACCUGUAAUGGGUCAUCAUCAAGAAAGAUGGUGCUACCAGCAGCAUUCAUGUUUGAGAGGGUGAGGUACUGGGGUUGAAAUCCAAAUAUAAGAAGGUUGCAUGGGGAUUUAAGAGCAACGAGAUCUGAAAGAACUCUGAAUUCUUUCUCGGUCAGGGUGGUUGUGGUGUUGGGAGUAUGUGAUGCAAUUUUGUUGCAGGUGGACAAAGGUGAAGAAGAACAAUUGUGUUGAGGAGGUGGAAACAAAGCAGAUAUCCCAGUUGAAAAGGGUGAAGUCUUGACAUUGAGGCUCAGAAGUCUGAGGACUGAUAUGAUUGAAAGGAUCAAAACAAGGAUGGGGAUGAGUUUCUUUUUGGUAAGAUUCAUCCCUUUCCUUCCUUGCCAGUAUUUGUGAACACAGAAAAUAUGAUUUUCUUGUGCUCGAGAUGUGAGUGAAGGAGAAAAUUGAACCAGAGGUGAUAGGAGAGGACGAAAAUGAAGUACAUCAGGGGGCAUCUUAAUUUUUUUGAAUGCUCCUUUACUCUCUCCUUUGAAAAAACUGCUGUUACAUUACAUCCUUCUCAUAGUGUUGUGAGAUUUUGGUGAUAAUAACUGUUCAUGGUGGUCCUUUUCAUAUUGUUGAGUAGGGAGGAAGGGAUGGCUUUGCUUCUGUUAUAAGUGUCCUCUUUCUUUUCAUCCAGCUGCUGUUAGCUACCUAAUUGUUGGGGUUGCAGGUUAAGCGUUAAGCUUAGAAAUUUAGCUACAUGUCUCAUUUAGAAAGAAAGUUCAUUUCAAUCAUUUGUUAGGGUGCUGACAUGCGUCCUUUAAGUUUGGUUUGUGGUAAUGUUUUCUUUUUGGAUGCUUGUUUGGUGAUCUUGAGUAAGCUUUAAGAUGGCUAGCGGGUUGGUGAGGGGUCUCUGUUGAAAUUUCAGCACUUAUGACUAAGGAGCUUUUCUCAUUUCAUAUGAAAUUAUUUGAGGUUUGUGAUGGGGAGCAAUGAUUGAUUCCUAUUUACACUUCUCUUUCUGAUUUUGGAUUUUUCACUUACAAACUUAAUGCUCAACUUGUGGAGUUUCUUAUUAAGAUUUUCGAUACAAUGAACUU